rnacentral:sRNA from 1 species
AGAAGUGGUUCUCAUCCUUUUUUGCAGCUUAAGAUCUGCCUUGGUAUUUGAAGAGAUCUAAACUACAUCAAUUUCUUUUACAGGAUCAACUAAACAGUGUACCACAAUGAAUUCUGAACUUGACUAUUAUGAAAAUUUUGAAGAAGUCCAUGGGAUUCUAAUGUAUAAAGAUUUUGUCAAAUAUUGGGAUAAUGUGGAAGAAUUCCAGGCAAGACCAGAUGAUCUUGUCAUUGCCACCUACCCUAAAUCUGGUACAACCUGGGUUAGUGAAAUUGUGUAUAUGAUCUAUAAAGAGGGUGAUGUGGAAAAGUGCAAAGAAGAUGUAAUUUUUAAUCGAAUACCUUUCCUGGAAUGCAGAAAAGAAAACCUCAUGAAUGGAGUAAAACAAUUAGAUGAGAUGAAUUCUCCAAGAAUUGUGAAGACUCAUUUGCCACCUGAACUUCUUCCUGCCUCAUUUUGGGAAAAGAAUUGUAAGAUAAUCUAUCUUUGCCGGAAUGCAAAGGAUGUGGCUGUUUCCUUUUAUUAUUUCUUUCUAAUGGUGGCUGGUCAUCCAAAUCCUGGAUCCUUUCCAGAGUUUGUGGAGAAAUUCAUGCAAGGACAGGGUAGGAAUAGCUUCUUUACACUGAAUUUUUCUCAAGGUGAUAUAAGACAAAUGCCAUCUCCGAGUAGAAGUUUUUAUCUGUUCUGGUAUGUUUUCUUCCGUGAUUCAUAGUUAAAACACAGAAAUUCUAAAGGUGCCUGGAGGUUUAGAGCAAGCAUACUGUGUCCAGAUGUAGAUGGCGAAUUGCAGAAUCUGAGCACUCUGGUCCAACACCUAAAAAUAAAUAUAUAGAAGUAUGUUUGGGGGCUGGGGGUAGUAAUUUUACUCUCCAAGAUUGAGACUCAGUGUCUGAUUUUCUGCCUUGUCUCUUUU